UUUUUUGCGCAGAGGCGGUGUCGCAUCCAAUGAUGUUUAUCCGAGGAGCGACUAUUGCUAUUUGAAAACUUGUGACGAUAGUCUUUCUUGGGCUACUCAAACCCAGAAAUUUUGGUCUGUCUGUCUGUC
rnacentral:snRNA from 1 species